AGAGCCACGGGGCAGGUUACCUCAGGCGCCGUUGUCGCCGACCUCCCACCGUCCUCCCGGGGGCGCGACCCGAGCCGGAGACGCGCGCCAGGACACGCGACACCGAGGUAUAACAGGAGAGGAGCAGCCGUCGGUCCCGCGGAGGUUCUGGGAAAGGCGCAAGACGCUCCCGCGGGGACCGUGAGGGACGCACGCUCCUCUGCUCAGCCCGGCCGCGGGUCCGACUGCAGCCAGCAGCUGUCUCACAUCCGGGUCUCGCCAGCGCUCAGCUGCUCUGGCCGCGGCCCCGCCCCCCAGGGGCGCACAGGCCAAACUUCCGGCGACGGCGGCAAUUCCCCGCCCUUCAGAUGGGCGGUCCCUACGCCCGCUGCGCGCGCCUGCGCACCGGCUCCUCCAGCCUCCUCGCUCUCUGAGUCGUGCAGAUUCUCACCCCGGUCUGGAAGGCAGGGGUACUGGAAAAGGCGAGGCCGCGUCCGUCCUCGGCGCAGGCGUGAUGGGAGACUUUGCGUGCGCGCCGCCUUGGGAGGGCACUGGGCGAGGUGGCGGUGGGGACUCCUGGUGGCGACCGCUGGUCCUCCGGGGGUCAUCGGAACUAAAACCACCCAGGGUCCCAGCUUCCGGGGUGGUUUGUCUUGGAAACCCAUGGUGCCCCUGCAAGAGCAAGAAACAGAUGCCACAAACCGGUUCUGUAAGCAGCAAGGCUCUUUGUGACAAGCCCUACCCCCACAACUGCAAGCCUUUUCUCUACCAUCUCUUGCUGAAUACAAACUGUGAGUAUCACCUCCUGUGCUUGUUUAAAUUACUCGCUUUCCUUGCUGACUCCAUACUGUAGAAUCACUUCUUUAUUUAUUUGUUUGUUUCUUUGUUUUUUGACAGGGUCUCACUGUGUAGCCCAGGCUGGCUUCGAAUUCAUGGUAAUCCUCCUUCCUCGCCCUCCUGAGUGCUGGGAUCACAGGUGUGUGCCACCAUGCCUGGCUCUUACUUUUCUUGUAGCCACUGAAAAUGGCUAUAACAUACAAAACCUCUGCUGACACACGGGACAGCACCAUCUCUCUUUCAGGCUGACCCUCCUGCUGGCUUUGGUUGCUCCACUCCUUGUGACUCUGGAUAGUUUCAUACUGUGAAAGUAAAUUUUUUUUAAAAAUUAAAGCUAGAAAAUAAGGACAGGGCCAGGGAUUUAGCUCAGUGGUGCCACCUCCUGCCUUGCAAGCGAAAGUUCCCAAAUUCAAUCCCCGGUACCCAAAAAAAAAAAAAAAAAGCAAUUUGUUAGAAAUCAACUGACAAUGGCAUUUCUGUUUGCUAUCUGGGAGAGUCCUCUUUAAGAUAUUUAAGUAAUUAAGCUGGCCCCACAGACUUGAGAAUGAGUUUAGUGUUGGCUAAAUUAAAGAACUGUGUGUCCAAACACUGUCAGGCAGAGGAGUUGCGAGAACUGAAAUGUUCCUGUACUCUUGAGGGAGAAAGAUAGGUUAAGAGGCAGAAGCCAGGCAUGGUGGCACAGCCCUGUGAUCUCAGGACUCUGAGAGACUGAAGCAGGAGGAUUGCAAGUUCCAGUCUAGACUCAGUGAGACCCUAUCUCAAAAUGAAAGAUAUAAAAAAGGAUGGGAAUGUAGCUCAGUGUGAAAGACCUAGGUCUAGUUCUCAGUACCAAAAAAAAAAAAAUUGGCAGAACCCAAAGUGAGGUGGGCCUUGCAGAUGACAGGGAGGACUCUACAGGGAACAAUACACACCAGCUUUCCUUUCCCUUAGAACACGCACUCCAACAAGGAAGGCAUUCAGUUACUUCACAGUACUGACUGAGAGCUGCCUGGGUUCCCCUUGACAUGACAGCAGCCAUCAUGAGUCACUGCCACCAUGGUUGGCUCUGAGGAGCGCUGGUCCAUUCUCCCCAGUUCCCAGCACACUGUAAAUAGACAGAAGCCUUAGAGUGGGAGAUGGAGCUUUACCGCCAGUGCUUGGCACCAGGAUGUGCUUGACUUAUGUUUCAAGGUACACUCUGGCUUGGAUGAAGUCAUUUUUGUCCUGACCAUUUCGUAAGCCCCCACCUUCUGGCCCAAAUUGUCUUGCUGCUGCCACAUGUUUCUUUGUAAAUCCUCAAUAAACUGUAAUCUCUGUAGUCCUAGAUCUGCCCACCUUCUUCUGUCUCAUGGCACAGCAGGGGCAUGUGCCCUUUUUCCAGCACAACCCUGUCCCAUAUGAUGUGCAAGACACCAGUGUAGAUGCUGGGGGCGCUGCAGGGGACUGGACAUAUACAAUUUCUUGCUUUCUGAACACUCACUUUCUCACUUCAGACAAUAAAUCAGUAAGCAAAUACUUAAUGCCAAGAACAAAACAAACAUGGGAAUAGACAAAGUACCACUAUCCAAUCAAAC
rnacentral:lncRNA from 1 species